CGUGCGAUAGGGAGCUGACCAGAGUGCUGGGAGCGCGGAUCCCGGGCCGGGAGCGGGAAAAGAGAAACGAGAGGGGCCAGAGGGCAAAAUGGACGCAAGACAGAGAACUCAAGAGAAAAAGAAAAAGAUUCAUUGGAAAGCAGGGAAAGAGGAGGUCUUUCUCUCGCGGAUUUGUUCACCAGACUUGGCUUUCUUGCACAUCCGUGUGGAGACCACCUUAGGAACAAACUGGAAAACCAGUUAAGAGAAACCUGGACAUAACUUCUGAGCCAUAUUUUUGGAACCGUGCCUCUAUUGUCUGGGCCUGCGACUCUGACGUCUACUAAAUAUGAGGAAUUAUGAAGUGAUUGUUAAAUAUUUGAACAGCUAAGGGAAACCGGAAGUAAUGAGAAACAAAACACCCUACAGAUCUGAGUCACAGGAGAUCCACUGUGGCAGGCCCUGUCAACCUCAGCUCCAGCCAUUGUUUUAUGUGUAUAUAUGCCCAGAGAAGAAGCUGUCUGUCUGAAGGUCCCAACUGCCAGCCAUUUAAACUGGGAAGAACAGAAACACAGUUGGAGAACCUCACUCUUCCACUUAGCUCUGAUCAGAAAUUGUUUUUUGCCAGGACUGAGAGGCCACUAGAAUAUCUGUAUCUAAAUGAAACUAUUGUUUUUUUGCUGGUUACUCUUUAGGUUUUAAUUUUCCACUGUUAUGUGGACGAUAUGUAAAGUUAAGAUGUAUGAUCGCGUUUUUGGGAGGAUGAGGCAGGGGAUUGUGAGUUUGAUAGCUGGAACUAGUUUACAUCUCGUUUGUUGAGACAUGGGUUCAAUCUGUAGCCUAGAUUGUCCUAGAACUUUCUGUGUAGUCCAGGCUGCUUUGAACUUAUGGAUAUCCUCUUACCUUAGCUUCUAGAAUGCUGAGAUCAUACAUGUGAGCCGUUAUGCUCUAUGUAUAUGUAUUUCUCAA
ensembl:lncRNA